rnacentral:tRNA from 5 species
GCCGAUGUAGCUCAAUUGGUAGAGCAACUGACUUGUAAUCAGUAGGUUGGGGGUUCAAGUCCUCUCGUCGGCACCA